UACAGAGGGGGCGAGCGUUAUUCGGAAUUACUGGGCGUAAAGCGUGCGCAGGCGGUUGUGCAAGACAGGUGUGAAAUCCCCGGGCUUAACCUGGGAACUGCACUUGUGACUGCACGGCUGGAGUACGGCAGAGGGGGAUGGAAUUCCGCGUGUAGCAGUGAAAUGCGUAGAUAUGCGGAGGAACACCGAUGGCGAAGGCAGUCCCCUGGGCCUGUACUGACGCUCAUGCACGAAAGCGUGGGGAGCAAACAGG
rnacentral:rRNA from 1 species